CGGUAAUCUGCCUAUAUCGACUGAUGUUUUGCCCCGCAGAGAAGACAGAAAGCGUACGGCCAUUCUUAUCCAACUACAUGUGUGGGAGAAUGACUUGUGGAAGCAUCAGUUUAGUGACUUACCGGCACACUCUCAUAAGGAACCUCAUCGUAGGUGCGUGAGUCAGUGGAGGCACUGCUGGAGGACGUUGCCCAACUGCAAAAGGCAGAGCAUUAUUAAAGACUGUACCCAUAAACAGUACCAGAACAGGAGAAAUAGCAUGCUGCGUACCAUUUUCACCACUCUCCCGAGCUGAGUCUCCAUUAGCAACGCUGUCAGAGUCUGAG